rnacentral:rRNA from 1 species
GGUCAGAACGAACGCUGGCGGCGCGUUUAAGCAUGCAAGUCGAGCGGCAAGGGCCUUCGGGCCCCUAGAGCGGCGGACGGGUGAGUAACACGUGGACAAUCUGCCCCCCGGCCCGGGAUAGCCCAGGGAAACCUGGAUUAAUACCGGAUGAGACGGGACCCGCGAUGGCGGGACCCGGGAAAGGCGCUGCGGCGCCGCCGGGGGAUGAGUCUGCGUCCCAUUAGCUAGACGGCGGGGUAACGGCCCACCGUGGCGACGAUGGGUAGCCGGCCUGAGAGGGUGGACGGCCACAUUGGAACUGAGACACGGUCCAGACUCCUACGGGAGGCAGCAGCUAAGAAUCUUCCGCAAUGGGCGAAAGCCUGACGGAGCCGACGCCGCGUGAACGAAGAAGGCCGUGAGGUUGUAAAGUUCUUUUCGGGAGGGGGAACAACCGUGGCAGGGAAUGGCCGCGGGAUGACGUGAAUCCCGGAAUAAGCCCCGGCUAACUACGUGCCAGCCGCCGC